AUGGGAUGAGCUGUGGAUCGGAGUGAAAGGCUAAUCAAGCACGGAGAUAGCUGGUUCUCCCCGAAAACUAUUUAGGUAGUGCCUCGUGUAUAACUCAUUGGGGUAAAGCACUGUUUCGACAAUGGGGGUUUUACGACCUUACUGACUCGAUGCAAACUCAGAAUACGAUGAAGUUCGAUCACGGGAGACACACUGCGGGUGCUAAGGUCCGCAGUGGAAAGGGAAACAGCCCAGACCGCCAACUAAGGUCCCAAAGUCAUAGCUAAGUGGGAAACGAAGUGGGAAGGCCCAGACAGCCAGGAGGUUGGCUUAGAAGCAGCCACCCUUUAAAGAAAGCGUAAUAGCUCACUGGUCGAGUCGGCCUGCACGUAAGAUUUAACGGGGCUAAGCUAUGCACUGAAGUUGCGGAAUAUAUUUAGUAUAUUGGUAGGGGAGCGUUCUGUAAGCCGAUGAAGGUGAAUUGAGAAGUUUGCUGGAGGUAUCAGAAGUGCGAAUGCUGACAUGAGUAACGUAAAAUAAGUGAGAUUCUUAUUGGCCGAAAACCCAAGGGUUCCUACGCAAUGUUAAUCAACGUAGGGUAAGCCGGCCCCUAAGGC
rnacentral:rRNA from 1 species